GAGGGCAUAGCUCAAAUGGUUAGAGCUCACGCUUAGCAUACACAAGGUCCUGGGUUCAAUCCCCAGUACCUCCU
rnacentral:tRNA from 1 species